UCCACGCCGUAAACGAUGAUUACUCGAUGUUGGUGAUACACUAUCAGCGUCCAAGCGAAAGCGUUAAGUAAUCCACCUGGGGAGUACGAUCGCAAGGUUGAAACUCAAAGGAAUUGGACGGGGGCCCGCACAAGCGGAGGAGCAUGUGGUUUAAUUCGAUGAUACGCGAGGAACCUUACCUAGACUUAAAUGUAGAUUGCAUAGAGUAGAAAUAUUCUUUCCCUUCGGGCUAU
rnacentral:rRNA from 1 species